ACAAAAGAAAAGAAAUGGAAAAAAAAAAGGAAGGAAAAAAAAGACCAUGCGCUCCUCUGUGUGGGAAAGUUUUUAAAAAUUUUGGUUCUAUUUCCUUUUGUCUCGUUGAUGUUCUUUUCCUGUUUCAUGCUGCAUGACCUCACGAAACGUCAAAUAAGAGCAAGGAGACCUGAAAUGGAUUCAUUCCGAGGAGA
rnacentral:ribozyme from 1 species